CGUCCGAGUGGCGAACGGGUGAGUAACACGUGAGGAACCUGCCCCGAAGACCGGGAUAACCCUCCGAAAGGAGAGCUAAUACCGGAUACCCCCACCGAAUCGCAUGGUUUGGUGAGGAAAUGGAUUCCGCUUCGGGAGGGCCUCGCGGCCUAUCAGCUUGUUGGUGGGGUAACGGCCUACCAAGGCAUCGACGGGUAGCUGGUCUGAGAGGACGAUCAGCCACACUGGGACUGAGACACGGCCCAG
rnacentral:rRNA from 1 species